GACGAACGCUGGCGGCGUGCUUAACACAUGCCAGUCGAACGGAAAGGCCCUGCUUUUGUGGGGUGCUCGAGUGGCGAACGGGUGAGUAACACGUGAGUAACCUGCCCUUGACUUUGGGAUAACUUCAGGAAACUGGGGCUAAUACCGGAUAGGAGCUCCUGCUGCAUGGUGGGGGUUGGAAAGUUUCGGCGGUUGGGGAUGGACUCGCGGCUUAUCAGCGUGUUGGUGGGGUAGUGGCUUACCAAGGCUUUGACGGGUAGCCGGCCUGAGAGGGUGACCGGCCACAUUGGGACUGAGAUACGGCCCAGACUCCUACGGGAGGCAGGAGUGGGGAAUAUUGCACAAUGGGCGGAAGCCUGAUGCAGCAACGCCGCGUGCGGGAUGACGGCCUUCGGGUUGUAAACCGCUUUCGCCUGUGACGAAGCGUGAGUGACGGUAAUGGGUAAAGAAGCACCGGCUAACUACGUG
rnacentral:rRNA from 1 species